GGCCCUUGGUCAAGCGGUUAAGACACCGCCCUUUCACGGCGGUAACACGGGUUCGAAUCCCGUAGGGGUCA
rnacentral:tRNA from 3 species